rnacentral:rRNA from 1 species
GACGAACGCUGGCGGCGUGCUUAACACAUGCAAGUCGAACGGUAAGGCCCUUCGGGGUACACGAGUGGCGAACGGGUGAGUAACACGUGGGUGAUCUGCCCUGCACUUCGGGAUAAGCCUGGGAAACUGGGUCUAAUACCGGAUAGGACUCCUGGCUUCAUGGUUGGGGGUGGAAAGCUUUUGCGGUGUGGGAUGGGCCCGCGGCCUAUCAGCUUGUUGGUGGGGUAAUGGCCUACCAAGGCGACGACGGGUAGCCGGCCUGAGAGGGUGACCGGUACAACGGGAAUGGGGUACCGCCCCGGACUCGAACGGGAGGAGGCGUGGGGGAUAUUUGACCAAUGGGGCAAGGCUGGAUCCGCCGAGGCGCGUGGAGGAUGACGGCCUUCGGGUUGUAAACCUCUUUCAGCACCGACGAAGCGCAAGUGACGGUAGGUGCAGUAGAAGGACCGGCCAACUACGUGCCAGCAGCCGCAGUAA